UGCUUCUUGGUGCUUACCACAGGUAGUGUCCCUACACUGACUGUACAGAAAAAGGAGGAAGAGUAAACCUGGCCCACACACAUACACCUCAGCCCAGGCCUGUGACUUGUCUGUAUUGUGAAUGGGGAGACAUGG
rnacentral:snoRNA from 1 species